GGGGAUUUGGCUCAGUGGUAGAGCGCUUGCCUAGCAAGCACAAGACCCUGGGUUCGGUUCUCAGCUCCG
rnacentral:tRNA from 1 species